UUCUCUCAUACGCGGGGUUAUCUUGUAGAGGUACACCUCCCCUCCCUGGGGUGUGGCGGGCGCUGUCUGGAUGGCCUUGCUCUCAUCUGGAAUCCUCAGAAUCUUUACAAUGUCCUCCACUUUAAGGGUUGAUGUUCUUCCUGUGAGAAACUGUUCAACACAAACAACCACAUUGCCUCCCAGUAUGAACACCAGUUGGCACAUGGAGGCAAGUUCAAUCGUAUUAAUGGUUUCUUUUAAUUAAAAGAAGGAUUGUUAGUUUAAUAUGUUUUAUCAGGUCCAAUCCUUCUAUGUGUACUCCGAAAUGUUUUCUUUAUACAUACCGGUAUAUUAGCUACAUGUUAUACUAUUUCUUUCCUACUUUAACAUACUUUAACAAAUCACUAAUUUAUGUGAAUUUUGAAUGUCAAUCUAAUACAUAAAACGCACACGUAUUGGUACAGACUAUGCUUAUUGUGAUUUGAUUCUUGUAGGGCAGACACCAUGGAGCCACGCACUUGCUGUAACUGAAGACCAACUGGAUACACCUGUAUCUGCACGAAAUCUCAGUCGUGUUGGAAGCCACAUUGGUAUAGGAUACGAGUCAGUGGGGAUCGAGCUUGGACUUACUCUAGUUAAAUUGGAGCAGGGCAAAGUUGCACAUCCAUGUUCACUGCAUAUGCAGAUUGUACACAUGCUGACCAAGUGGAAGGAGAAGAACGGCAGAUCUGCCACUGGUCUGGUCCUCGUCAGAGCAUUAUGGAGAUGCAAUGACAGAUGUACGAUAGAGUGGGAGGACAUUCUCAACAUUCUUCAGUAAUAGACAUCUAAUUCUUCGUAGCCAAGCAACUUGGUAUCUUUUACAGAGGAAACUAUCCACUUCAAAAUUACUCAGAUUCCCGGACAUGAAGCCCAAACGUGAAAUCAUGACGUAAUUAAACACCGCUUUCAUUGCUUGUGCUCUUGGGGAUGCUCACGUAUUUGUACCAGUGACUCAGUGCUCAACCCAUGUAAAGUAAGUGUAUGCAUUCUGUAUAAAACGCAUGUUUCACAUGUCUCUAGAAUUUAAAUUGAACCUAAUGCACGAUUCUGUCCUUAUCGUCUUGUUGCAUUGUUCGUGUUAUAUGUAAUGUAUUGUAUUGUGUAGUUCUAUAUUUUCAUUCCAUUGUAUUGUGCUAAAUGUCAUGCAUGUUAUUGUUUGGGGUUUGUGGUGGGUUGCAUUUGGACUCAAUGUCAUGGUGAUCGAAUUAGACAAAGUUUCACACUCUGCAUUAUAUGGAGACCGUCUACAUGCUUAUUAAGUGAAAAAGUGGCUGUGCGUUUGAAAUAAAGGACACGAUAAACAUUCUAUAGUCACCAUGGACUCAGUGUGUCAUAUGUUCAUAUUAGCAUUCAUGUUUGAUGCUUACCUAUGUUUCAAGAAUAAAUAUUGUCGUUUCAACUAAACCUUUCUCGUUUAUUUCUUCAUUGAACGUGGGUAUGAUAUGUCUAUGUUAGUCUCUGUGUAUUUGGUGAAAGUCCAUCUGUCGUAGUUCCAUCUGUCCCAGACGAUAAUCAGGGGAUGUUAUAACAUUAUUUCUACCUUCCCCAAUACCCUGUCGUUAUUGCUAGACACAACUGGAGAGAAUCAGAAUUUGUGACUUUGCUGAUUGUUUGUCAAAAUAAUUACGUCAGCUUUGAUGUUUUCCCUCAGGGGUUUGUCGGACCCUCAAUUAGUCCGUCGUGAUACAGUAGUUCCCCGUUCUUUUCUCUGAUGUUUCAUAACAUUCACACAGCUUGUCUGAAAACGUGGGGUUUGGACGCUACAUACACAAUCAACAUGGAUAUAUGUAAUCAUGUGAGACAGUAUUGUAUUUUAAAAGCAAAUGUUUCAGAUUAAUUUGCAUGUUGUAUCCGUGAGAAUGUUCUAUACAUCUUAGUGCAGUCUGAUGGAGCUCAAUUAUCCCUUUAAGUUUAAUUCAAGAUCAAGACUGAUUAAUGUGGCAAACACAGCAAACUGAUCACUCCCUGUUGAGUCUCCUAUGUUCCAAACCCACAUACAUCAAAAUGCCCAUUCUGUACUAAAUGCUUCAUGAGUAGCAUGAUAUGAAUUGGUUGUUCCUGUCCAUCUACUGCUCUCAAACAAUCAUCAUAGUAUCUUGAGUAACACACGAAACGUCAUAUACUAUGUCGGACUGUCGGACUGGUUUACCUUUGUAACGGAUUUUGCACACUGUCAGAGAUCUAUUAACAGAAUGAAUGAGUGCGUGUUUCCGUGUAUGCCUGCAUUCGUGUAUGUAUCAUGUGUACUAUUAUAUAUACACCACUAAUUUAUGUGCUUGUAUUACCACACUUUUAGCUUUCAUUAUUGUAUAAACAUGAAUCCAAAACCUAUGCAAUGGAAGUGAAUUAUACAUCAGUCGUAUUCAUAAUACGGCUUCCCUAAUCGCAAUACUGUCGCCUCUGUCGUGAAGGUAUUAUAUAUGCAACCAUGUCUGGACACUGUUCACAUGCAUAACUAUUGUUUCCCCGUGUAUAUAACAUUGUGAUUGUAUUUUACGUCUUAAGAAUAAAUAUUUUAAAUGA